rnacentral:rRNA from 1 species
CAGCAGCCGCGGGAAAACGUAGGUGGCAAGCGUUGUCCGGAAUUAUUGGGCGUAAAGGGCUCGCAGGCGGUUUCUUAAGUCUGAUGUGAAAGCCCCCGGCUCAACCGGGGAGGGUCAUUGGAAACCGGGAAACUUGAGUGCAGAAGAGGAGAGUGGAAUUCCACGUGUAGCGGUGAAAUGCGUAGAGAUGUGGAGGAACACCAGUGGCGAAGGCGACUCUCUGGUCUGUAACUGACGCUGAGGAGCGAAAGCGUGGGGAGCGAACAGGAUUAGAUACCCCAGUAGUCCCUGUCUCUUAUAC